GUUUGACCUCGGAUCAGGUAGGAAUACCCGCUGAACUUAAGCAUAUCAAUAAGCGGAGGAGG
rnacentral:rRNA from 1 species